UAGUGUACAUGUGGUGUUUAGAAUGGGAAAACGAGGAAAGAACAAGGUUAACCUUGGAUUAUAUUUUUAGACGGAAUUACACAGUGGAUAGUUUUACACCAAUUAGCACCAACAUGGGAUCAAGAAUUGAAAUCGUAAAGAAGAUAUGAUUAUAUUAAGUUUGGUCAAUAAAAGAUGACAACACCAUUUUUACAACCAAAUGCCUGGUUAGGGUUUGAUGAUGUUCAUAUCCAAGUCUUUGGCUUCAAUUCUUGGGUUCUCACCUCAUGUUGCAGUUAUGAUUAGAAGCCGUCAAACUACUGAUGAAAAAACAGAGUAAGGAAUGCCAAAAGCUAUACCUAGUUGGGGAAAAACGGAGCCUUAGGCCUUAAAUAUUAAACAUUUGAGUGAAAUUAUAUCUUUCAAAUCGUUAAAUGUUAACAUCAGCUUUAAAGUUUAUCUUCCUCAUCUGGCUCAACUUGAUAACACUUUCUUCUCGGCUGAUCAAGGAUUGGGCAUGAAGUAAUACGUCUUUCGGGAAACCAAAAUUAACUAAUCGAAGACGACAAUUCUGAUUAAAAAUAUAAGCGAAACAACAAAUUACAUAAUUUUCUGUCUGAUUUACAUGUUAGUGCUGAUCUCAAACCAGAAAAGGCAAUUUUUCAUUACUUAAGCUGCUUUCAAGCUAUCAUGCUGUAUGGAUUGAGGAUCAACAGCUGUUAAAAUUUAAACCUUGCAUUCAAGUGAGUGAAAGUCUUAACAGUUAGUCAAACUGUCAACUAUUAAUCAACAUCUAAUUGAUGUCCAUUGUACAACAAUCAAAAGUUUAAUCCAAAGGGUUUUGAUUUCCAUUGAAAAAACGGGUUUCUCAACAAACCAUUUCAGUCAUUAAUCGACUAUUCCUAGUAUUAACCUGACAUUGUCUAACCAAUUUUCCUUAUUUAGAAUUAAUAUGCUUUGAAUUAAGAAGGAAAGUUCAGUUUUAA